GACGAACGCUGGCGGCGUGCUUAACACAUGCAAGUCGAACGGAAAGGCCCUGCUUGCAGGGUACUCGAGUGGCGAACGGGUGAGUAACACGUGGGUGAUCUGCCCUGCACUUCGGGAUAAGCCUGGGAAACUGGGUCUAAUACCGGGUAGGAGCCAUUUUUAGUGUGAUGGUUGGAAAGUUUUUUCGGUGUAGGAUGAGCUCGCGGCCUAUCAGCUUGUUGGUGGGGUAAUGGCCUACCAAGGCGGCGACGGGUAGCCGGCCUGAGAGGGUGGACGGCCACAUUGGGACUGAGAUACGGCCCAGACUCCGACGGGAGGCAGCAGUGGGGAAUAUUGCACAAUGGGCGCAAGCCUGAUGCAGCGACGCCGCGUGGGGGAUGACGGCCUUCGGGUUGUAAACUCCUUUCGCUAGGGACGAAGCUUUUUGUGACGGUACCUAGAUAAGAAGCACCGGCUAACUACGUG
rnacentral:rRNA from 1 species